rnacentral:misc_RNA from 2 species
CAACCCUCAAGCACUGCUUGGUGUUGGGCGUUUGUCCCGCCUCCGCGCGUGGACUCGCCUUAAAGUCAUUGGCGGCUAUUUCCCUUCGGCUCGUAAGCGCAGCACAGUCGGCGCCCGGGGCCUUGGUGGAUAGCGUCCAGCAAGCUAUUUUUCAG